AUGAAGCAACACGUGAAGCUGUAUGUGGAGGAGUGUCAGAUAUGCAAGCAGGCCAAGCCCGAGCGCGUGCGCUAUCCCGGUAUGCUCGAACCAUUACCGGUGCCCAAGCAAGCAUGGGAACUAAUCACGAUGGACUUCGUCGAGGGACUACCGCCAUCAGCGUGCUACAACAGCAUUCUGGUCAUGGUGGACAAAUUCUCCCGGUAUGCUCACUUCAUACCGUUGUCCCAUCCCUUCACAGCCUUCCAAGUGGCAUUGGCCUUUGUCAACAACAUCUACAAGCUGCACGGGCUACCAGAGGCAAUUGUGUCCGACCGGGAUCCCAUUUUCACCAGCACCAUGUGGAAGGAGAUAUUCCGGCUGACACAUACUGAGUUGAAGAUGAGCACAGCGCGCCACCCUCAGACGGACGGGCAGUCCGAGCGCGUGAACCAGUGCCUCGAAACCUACCUCCGCUGUUUUGUGCAUGCCUGCCCAUCAAAGUGGUCAUCUUGGCUAGCGUUUGCAGAAUUCUGGUACAAUACCUCUCCUCACUCAGCUUUGGGCACGUCCCCUUUUGAAGCACUCUACGGGCAUGCGCCAAGACACUUUGGUAUCAUCGACCCCAUGGCAUGUGCGGCACCAGACCUCGCAGACUGGCUCCAAGACAGGGCGCAAAUAGAAGCAUUGCUCAGGCAGCACCUUCUCCGCGCAUGGCAACAGAUGAAGCAGUCCGCGGAUAAGCACCGGUCCGAGCACACAUUCGAUGUCGACGAAUGGGUCUUCCUCAAAAUGCAGCCCUACAUCCAGCGCUCUCUGGUAACGCGCGCUAAUCCAAAUCUAUCCUUUCGCUACUUUGGUCCCUUCCAGGUGAUCAAACGGGUCGGACAAGUGAUGUACAAGCUUCGACUGCCGGUGACGUGCACCAUCCACCCUGUCUUCCACGUCUCCCAACUUUGGCGCGCACUUCCACCAACGGAGCAGGCGGUCCCGGACUUGUCGGAGGACGCAACACCAAGUCCUAGGCCAGAGGAGAUCCUCGACACUCGACCUCAUGUUCGCGGCAAGACUCAAGUGGAGCAAGUGCUGGUCCGCUGGACGGCGCAGCCAGCAUCGCUGGUGACCUGGAAAGACCCACUAGUGCAGAACCGGGCUUUAGCGCCGGUUCGUAAGGGCCUUUAG
rnacentral:rRNA from 1 species